ACAUUUAUGACAACCCAAGCCAACUUGACAAACAUGAACAACAUUUAUAAAUCCACAAGCUAAAUAAAUUAUACAAUCAUAACUCCAACUAUUCACCACAAGUUCAUAUCAUCAUAAACUAGACUUGACAUUCCAAUAUUCCAAAUAAGAGAGAUCUUCUAACACUUUUACAUAGUAUAUCCAUUUCGAUUCAUCGACAACAUUUCAUUACAUACAAAAUAUGCUUAUACAACAAUAACAUAA
rnacentral:lncRNA from 1 species